UCGGCACAGGCGGCGUGGGAGCAGGAGGGAGCACGUGGCACGGCCGCGGUGGUCCCGAGCGCAGGCGGUCCCAGCGAGGGGAAGGCAGCCCCCACGCUUAGGCUGCUCCCCCCAGUUGCGCUCUCUAUCUCACUCCCCUGCAUUUCCCAGUUACGGUUGGCAGCUAGCGUCGGCGCAGGCACGGCAAAGCCCACGGUAAACACCGUGUACGGAGCACGAGCCGUAAACUGAGACUCAUUUGGCACUGAGUUCAGUCAUAAAGGAUAAAUGUGCUUUAUGGCCACAUUCAGGAUGUAGCUGUAAUGGCUAAAUAAAACCAUACCCCAAGUGAUGGAAGCUGUCAGCUACGGCCCCGGGGAAUCGGGUUUUCAUGCAAGAAAACGGUGACUAUUGCAAGUCACAGAAAAAGGGAAAAGGACUGAAUGACCGGAGUGCGGAGAGAAGCAGAGGAAGGUGGGCGUGCUGGGGAGGGACAUUCGUGGCGAGAUGAAAUCAGCAGCGAGGAGCCCCUGCGUUUAUCAAUAACCGUGGCAUUUCCUCUGUGUCGCAGGUGACUACUCAGGUCCGUGGCCGAAGAGAGGAAGGCAUGAGCUCCGCGGUUGCUCCGGGUCUGGCAGAGCCGGCUGUGCCGGGCCGGGACGCAGGAUCAGGCCACGCUGGUUCCUUGAGGCUGGAGCCUGGGCGCUCUGGGAACACCAAAGCCCCGAGCAAUGAGUGUGUGUGGCAGACAAUCUGCUUAAUGUGGGAAGCAGAGUUUCCUGCAGCACCGAUUUAGUGGAGAAGGGAAAACCCUGAGAGCCAGGAACAGCCGGGAGAAUUAAGCAGAUCCCGCUGGAAAACCGAAGACGAAAGAGAAGCAGCCCUGCCGCUCGCCUUGGCCACGCUUCCUCGGCCAAAGAUGCCGAACCGUCCCCGAUAACGGGUGCGCUGGGCCAGUCCUGCUCUCCUCCGGAC